rnacentral:tRNA from 1 species
GGGUCCUUAGCUUAAUAGGUAGAGUUUCUAAUUGUCACUUAGUUGGAUACCAGUUCGAAUCUGGUAGGUCUCG